ACCGAGGGGAAUGCCACCUCCGCCUUCUCACCUCAACUUGGGAGAGCCCAGCCAAUCCGUUGUGCUGCUGGGCUCUGCUGCAAAGGACAGAGCUUUCAAAUUAAGGCCAUGAAAGGACAGGACACCAGGCCUUGAGCCCCACUGAGGCAAGACAUUGGAAAAGAGAUAGAACUUGAUGGAUAGACCCCAAGGACAGGGCAGAUGAGAAGAAUCUGCACUCUCCACCCUCCCAGCAAAGCUAGACAACAAGCAAGCAGGUCUGUCUCAGCUAGAGCAGGAGCUGGGGGCUGCCAGGGGUCGGGGGGAUCCGGGAUCUCCUGGAAAUAGGUAGCCACAUUCCUGCCUUUGCACAGAUCGGAGGCUCAAGUUUACCCCCUUGCAUGCUCCAAGGGCUCCAGGCAAGCUGGAAGACUCACCCUAGUCUAGUGAGUCCCGAGGAACAAAGACCCCAGAGGAACAAAGAGAAAGCCUCCCCCACACUGGGUACCAGCUCACAUGCCAAGGUAUCCAACACAAGAAAAUGAAACACCAGGGGAGAUAGCCAAUGUCAAGAUUAGAUACUCAAGGACGUCGGCAAAAAGAACAAUCAGCUGGAGAGCAGAGAGAAGUCUCUGUCCCACUGCUUUCUAGCUGGGUGACCUUGGGUGAGUCGCCUAACCUCUCUGUGCUUCAGUUCCUCCACUGUAAAAUGAGGUGACAACAGUACCCACUUUAUUAGGGUGGUUGAGAGGACUAGAAAAAAUCAACAAUGGUAAACCACUUAGCUGAGAGCUUAGCAUGAAAAAGUUGCCCCAAAUACUAGAGUUUUUAUAAUUUUGUAUUAAUAAUUGAUGACAGUAAUGACAGUUUCUUACAAGAGGGCUCAGAGGUAAGGAGCAGAGGUCUUCAUUUAUCUUCAUUGACAGUUGAAGAAACUGAAGGCAAGAAAAAGGUCUGACUUGUGCAGGACACAGAGCUGAGGUGCAGAUGUGGCCUCUGGACAGCCCAUAUGGACCCAGGGAUCGAAUGACUCCAAGGUGCUGCAGGCAGUGACCGCUGGCAGGCUGCGGCAGCUGAAAGGCGACUGUGUCCACUGUAUCAGACCGCGAACGGGUGUGCAAGGGACGCAGGAGCAGGAGCCUGGCCUGUGCUUCCUGUGUAGCAGGGCCAAGGCCAGGGUUGGGGGCUGUCAGCCCAACUCUCCUUGUAAUGAUUUUCUGUGACCCUGCUCUACCUCCAAGCAGGUGUCCGUCCUUAGUUCUCUCUGAGUCCCCUGUGCAGCCCGUGGCAAUGCAAAUGGUGAGGACCAGACAACCAGCUGCAGACUUGUUCCCACCCUACCCACCGAUCCCAUCUCUUCCCCACGGUGGGGAAAGGGCAGCUGCACCCUGGGUUGCAUUUAACCUCCCCAAGUUCCAGGUGGACCCCCAGGCCACAUGAAGUCUCCAGUGCCAUGGCCUUUCCCUACCUGCCACGCUGGCCCUCCCCUCAGCACCCGCUGCCCCCGAGAAGUGGAGGCUGCAGCCAAGGGGCCAAGAAACAAUGAGGGGCAGCCAUUCUUGGCUUCAGAGUUCUCAGAGACCCAGGUACGACAGGUAAAGUCCAGCCCUUUGGAACUCUGAAGAGUUUCUGUUGACCGUGCCAUUAAUUCGGACACUGGCCCUGCCCAGCAACAGUAGAGUGGGACUGUCCAAUCCCCACCGCUCGCUGACCACUGAGGAACUGGGCACCUGCUGGCGUGUAACUGAUAUCAGGCCUGUUAACCUCUUUGAGCCUGUGUUGCUGCUUCUGUGAAAUGGGCACAAGGCAGCACGUGUGCAUCCGAGUGAGCAGAGUCAGAAUGAGGGGCCGGUGCUGAGCACAGUGCCAGGAUGUAGUAAGUGCUCAGUGAACACCAGCCCUGCUGCCGCUGUUACUACUGUAACUGUCACCGAGUCCCAUUCCCGCCUCAUCUAUGACAUUCCAUAUAUUCUACGAUGUCCCAAAGGACAAGGCAGCCUCAAUUUGAAGUAAUUAAGCAUCCUCCUAACAAGCUUGAAUGCAGCUCAUCACCGAGGGAUGGCUCUCUUCCCGGACAGUCCUCUCCAUGUCCCAGAUCUCAGUCAGCAACCCUUCCUUCUGCCCUCCCGUGCCUUCAAUUCAGUCAUCCUAACUCCACUACUUAAAUUCUUCUACUUAAAAUCCUACAAAAGAGAACUCAAUGCAGCUCCACCCUUCAGCCACACCCUCUUUCAUCUGUUUUAAUCCACUGGUCUUCAGCUGUACUUCAUGAUCCUACUUAGUCAUGAAUCAGUUUUGCCAGAUCCCUCUGAACAGACCUACCCACCAUUAAUUUCCCUUAAGUGUGGCUCCAAGUAUGGAGUGGAAAGUGCCAAGGAUGACGUUGGGGUUCCAGCUUGUGGUGGAUGGUGGGAACCGGUCACAGGAAGAGAGACACUGAAGGAGGACCAAGUUCAGAAGAGCAGUGCAAUCCACAAACUUGAGGAAAUGGAAGAAUUUCACACCAUGGUGGGCUAUUACAUUGUGUAACAGGCUCUGCUAACACAAGCCACAAUCACUGGAUGACCUACAGCUAGGAAUGUACUAGAGAACAUGCAAAUUACAGCCUGCACCUGCAGUUUGAGCAGGUGCCAGUUUGACGUUUCUUUGCCUCAGGAAGUUUUGCAGAGUAAAUAACAAAGCAGUUCUAAGGCUCUUCCACCCUCUGCAGAGGACACAGCCAGUGUUACAGAACAGAAUGUGGAGUGUUUUGUGUGACCGUAUCUAGCUCUAUCGCCUAGGCUGGAGUGUAGUGGCACCAUCAUAGAUCACAGCGACCUCAAACUCC